CCUACGGGUGGCUGCAGUGGGGAAUAUUGCACAAUGGGGGCAACCCUGAUGCAGCGACGCCGCGUGAGUGAAGAAGUAAUUCGUUACGUAAAGCUCUAUCAGCAGGGAAGAAACACUGACCUUACGGUCAGCAGACGGUACCUGAGUAAGAAGCCCCGGCUAACUACGUGCCAGCAGCCGCGGUAAUACGUAGGGGGCAAGCGUUAUCCGGAUUUACUGGGUGUAAAGGGAGCGUAGACGGUUCGCCAAGUCAGGAGUGAAAUGCCGCGGCUUAACUGGGGGACUGCGUUGGAAACUGGCGAACUAGAGUGCGGGAGGGGUAGGCGGAAUUCCUAGUGUAGCGGUGAAAUGCGUAGAUAUUAGGAGGAACACCAGUGGCGAAGGCGGCUUACUGGACCGUAACUGACGUUGAGGCUCGAAAGCGUUGGGAGCAAACAGGAUUAGAUACCCGAGUAGUC
rnacentral:rRNA from 1 species